GAUGAACGCUAGCGGCAGGCCUAACACAUGCAAGUCGAGGGAGAAGCCCUGUCGGGGGCUGAAACCGGCGCACGGGUGCGUAACGCGGAUGCAAGCUACCUUUCACAGUGGGAUAGCCGGAUGAAAUCUGGAUUAAUACCCCAUAAUAUUAUUGGAUGGCAUCAUUUGAUAAUUAAUACUGCGGUGGUGAUAGACGGGCACGCGUAAUAUUAUCUAGUUGGCGUGGUAACGGCAACCCAAGGAUACGAUAGGAAGGGGUCCUGAGAGGGAGAUCCUCCACAACGGGACUGAGGCCGGGACCAGUAUGCUACGGAAGGCAGCAGUGAGGAAUACUAGUCAAUGGACGGAAGACUGAAACAGCCACGUCGCGUGCAGGAAGAAUGGCUUAGGAGUAGUAUGCUGCUUUUAAAGAGGAAGAAUAUGAUGUACGUGUACAUUGAUGACGGUACCAAAUGAAUAAGCAUCGGCUAACUCCGUG
rnacentral:rRNA from 1 species